rnacentral:rRNA from 1 species
CUGAGGCUGAAAAGCGUAGGUGAUGGCAAGCAGGUUAAUAUUCCUGCACCGAUAAGGGUGGCGUUGAAUCGAGCAGGGACGGAGAAGGGUAUGCUGAUCCGGGUGUUUGGUUCACCGGUUCAAGCCUGUAGGCAGAGUCCAUAGGACCCGAUAGGGACAAACGUGGAUUCAAUGCCGAGAGGUGAUGAGGUGAGGCUUCGGUCUCAGAACUCAGUGAUCCCAUGCUUCCAAGAAAAGCUGCGCGAGGAGCCUCUUUAUCGACCGUACCGCAAACCGACUCAGGUGGGCGGGGUGAGUAUCCCAAGGCGCGUGAGAGAACGCUGGUUAAGGAACUCGGCAAAUUGACACCGUAACUUCGGGAGAAGGUGUGCCCUUUAUUGUGAACCUCGUACGAGGGAAGCGAUGGGGGGUUGCAGAGAAACGGGGGUUGCGACUGUUUACUAAAAACACAGGACUCUGCGAACACGCAAGUGGACGUAUAGGGUCUGACGCCUGCCCGGUGCUGGAAGGUUAAGGGGAGUUGUCAGCGAAAGCGAAGCACCGAACCGAAGCCCCAGUAAACGGCGGCCGUAACAAUAACGGUCCUAAGGUAGCGAAAUUCCUUGUCGGGUAAGUUCCGACCUGCACGAAUGGCGUAACGACAUCCCCACUGUCUCGACCAGCGACUCAGCGAAAUUGUAAUCGCGGUGAAGAUACCGUGUACCCGCGGCAAGACGGAAAGACCCCAUGAACCUUUACUGCAACUUGACAGUGAAGCUCGGGACAGACUGCGUAGGAUAGGUGGGAGGCUGUGAAGUCGGGAUUCUGGUCUCGGCGGAGCCAACCCUGAAAUACCACCCUGUUUGUUCUGGGCUUCUAACCCAGGCCUCUUAGCGAGGUCGGGGACACUGUCUGGUGGGCAGUUUGACUGGGGCGGUCGCCUCCCAAAAGGUAACGGAGGCGCGCGAAGGUUCCCUCAGGCUGAUUGGAAACCAGCCGUAGAGUGUAAUGGCACAAGGGAGCUUGACUGUGAGACCGACAGGUCGAGCAGGUGCGAAAGCAGGUCAUAGUGAUCCGGCAGUUCUGCAUGGAAGGGCUGUCGCUCAUCGGACAAAAGGUACUCUGGGGAUAACAGGCUGAUCGCGCCUGAGAGUUCAUAUCGGCGGCGCGGUUUGGCACCUCGAUGUCGGCUCAUCGCAUCCUGGGGCUGGAGCAGGUCCCAAGGGUUUGGCUGUUCGCCAAUUAAAGCGGUACGCGAGCUGGGUUUAGAACGUCGUGAGACAGUUCGGUCCCUAUCUGCCGUGGGCGGAGGAUACUUGAGAGGGUCUAACCAUAGUACGAGAGGACCUGGUUGGACGUACCUCUGGUGAUCCGGUUGUUCUGCCAAGAGCAUCGCCGGGUAGCUAUGUACGGAAUGGAUAACCACUGAAAGCAUCUAAGUGGGAAGCCAGCCUCAAGAUGAGGUAUCCCGGGACGCAAGUCCCCUGAAGGCCCCUCGAAGACGACGAGGAGAUAGGCUGGGUGUGGAAGCGCAGCAAUGUGUGGAGCUAACCAGUACUAAUCGGCCGUGAGGCUUGACC